CGAGGGAACCUUACCCGGGCUUUGAGCUGCCAAGCGAAACGAUUUCAGAGAUGAUGAGGUCCCUUCGGGAACGCUGGUGGAGGUGCUGCAUGGUUGUCGUCAGCUUCGUGCCGUGAGGUGUCGGCUUAAGUGCCAUAACGAAGCGCAACCCUUUUCUUUAGUUGCCAUCAGGUAAUGCUGGGCACUCUGGAGAUACUGCCACCGUAAGGUGUGAGGAAGGUGGGGAUGACGUCAAAUCAGCACGGCCCUUACGUCCGGGGCUACACACGUGUUACAAUGGGGGGUACAGAGAGUCGGAUAUACGCAAGUAUGUUCUAAUCCUUAAAGCCUUCCUCAGUUCGGAUUGGGGUCUGCAACCCGACCCCAUGAAGCUGGAUUCGCUAGUAAUCGCGCAUCAGCCAUGGCGCGGUGAAUACGUUCCCGGGCCUUGUACACACCGCCCGUCAAGCCAUGAAAGCCGGGGGCGC
rnacentral:rRNA from 1 species